AGAUCGAAGACGCCCUUCUCACAGAAGACGUCUACGUUGUCCACGUACAGCUCUCCUCUCCUGCCCAGCUCCUGCAGCUCUGGGAGGUGGUUGUUGACGAUGUCAUCAGCAGCUUCAGCAGCGGUUUUCCCUCUAAGGAUAGGCUUCAGUCUGAUUUUCAAAGUUUUCUUGGAGAUCCUUCAAAGGCUACCAGGAUAUGACCCAAGAG